GAUGAACGCUAGCGGCAGGCUUAAUACAUGCAAGUCGAACGGUAACAGGUCUUCGGACGCUGACGAGUGGCGCACGGGUGAGGAACACGUACACAAUCUACCUUAUACUGGAGAAUAGCCCCGGGAAACUGGGAUUAAUACUCCAUAGUCUUUAAUGAUCACAUGAGAAAUAAAGUAAAGCUUCGGCGGUAUAAGAUGAGUGUGCGUCCCAUUAGAUUGUUGGUGAGGUAACGGCUCACCAAGUCGACGAUGGGUAGCUGGCGUGAGAGCGCGACCAGCCACACUGGCACUGAGACACGGGCCAGACUCCUACGGGAGGCAGCAGUAGGGAAUAUUGGUCAAUGGACGAAAGUCUGAACCAGCCAUGCCGCGUGGAGGAUGACUGCCCUCUGGGUUGUAAACUCCUUUUAUAUGGGAAGAAACCUCUGGAUUCACUCCAGAGCUGACGGUAUCAUAUGAAUAAGCACCGGCUAACUCCGUG
rnacentral:rRNA from 1 species